rnacentral:rRNA from 1 species
GCGGAAGUACUGCGGAGACAUUAAUGAGUCUUUGAACCGAGAGGUCUGCUGCUGGCGCGGAAACGCGUACCGUGCACGGCCUUUCGUGCUCAAUCCACUCAACCUCUGUGCACCUUAAUAGUUGGAGUCAGUAGUCUCGGGGGGAUUACGAAUCAUAAGUAGAGUGCGAGCUUGAAAGUGAGAGUAAGACCGUUUGAGGCGAACGCUUUGACUUCUUAUUAUAAACACUUUGUUGUCUUGUGAAUGUAAUGCUCCUUUGUGGGCGAAAAAGUUAAUACAACUUUCAACAACGGAUCUCUUGGCUCUCGCAUCGAUGAAGAACGCAGCGAAAUGCGAUAAGUAAUGUGAAUUGCAGAAUUCAGUGAAUCAUCGAAUCUUUGAACGCACCUUGCGCCCCUUGGUAUUCCGAGGGGCAUGCCUGUUUGAGUGUCAUGUUAAUCUCAAACCGCUUGUUUUUGCUUAAUUGCAGAGGCUCGAGGUUUGGACUUGGAGGUCUUACUGCUGGCUGUCUGUUGAAGACAUGUCGGCUCCUCUUAAAUGUAUGAGCUGGACUUUGGUUCGCGUUUACGGUGUAAUAGUAACUACAAUUCACCAAUGAGCGCUUGCCUGAAGGGUCUGCUUCUAAUCGUCUGGAUUUCCCGGACAAGGAUCCCUUAGUGGCCUUAUUGAAACCUUUGACCUCAAAUCAGGUAGGAUUACCCGCUGAACUUAAGCAUAUCAAAAA